UCAUCUCGCGAGGUUUCUGCCCUCCCUUUCUUUUCUCCAGCUGGCUUGUGGGCUCUCUGUACGGUACCGAAGCACCGGGUUCCGGUCCCCGGGGCGGUUUGUUGUGUAACUAAAGGGCCAGUGUGUCACUGACAUCAAACGAGAUCCAGAGGAAGUGACAUCGGAGGGGGGGGUUACAUAGAGCCCAAGAAAAUGCAAUAAAAACUGCAUGUCAUGUGAAAUAAAAGCA